GAAGAACCACACAUGACCAAGUGACAACAUUUGUUUACACCACAGGAACUCUGCAGACUUCAUUGGAUCUACUCAGUUUGCACUUGUAGCAAGAAGAGAGGUCACAAAUUUCUAAUUCUACAGAAACCUGCAGCAAAAGUUACUGCUUACAGCGGAACAUAGUCAUAUUAGGAAGACAAACUGUCAAGAGAGGUGACCCUCUACAAUGCAUCCAUUCAUCAGGAUCAACCAAGGAAAGCCUUUCAGCUUACUUCAGCGGAGCAGAGAACCAGGACCUCCACCAUUAUCCCAGCCAAAAAAUGAGAACAUUGUAAGGCUAAAGGUCAGCCCUUUGAGGAGUGGGUAAGGAAAGGUUAGAAACAGGCUAAAAGAGCUACAUGUGCCAGAAGACAACAUUCUUUGGGAGAGAUGGUGCACAGGACAGCAUGGGAACCAGGCUUUGCUUUUUGUGGUGGUUCAGGACACUUCCAGGCCUCCUCUGCUAGCAUUCCAAGGGGUAGCCAGGUUACCCUGCACCAUGAGUGACUACUUUAGGACAGUGCUACAUCUUGGAAAACAAGGCAUAUUAACUUGGGCUCACCUCUGCAGCCAUGCAACCACCCAACUUUGAACUGGCUCGAAGAACUAGAAGAAGAAACUCAGUUCUUCCCACAGCAUAUCAUGGAAAGAUUUUCUCAGAGUUUUGUUUUCUUUAAGAACUUGCAAGUUACGCAAUAAAAAGUAAUGCUUAGCA